rnacentral:rRNA from 1 species
ACGAACGUUUGGCGGCGUGGAUUAGGCAUGCAAAGUCGAACGAAGACGGCUUGGGUAGCAAUAUUGAGCCGGACUGAGUGGCGAAAAGGGGCAGUAAUGCGUGGGGUAACCUACCUCGGGGAUGGGCAUAGCCGGUCUAACCGGCCGGGGUAAUUCCCAGCGAUUUUGGCGAGAGAUGGCAUCGUUUUGCCAAGAAUGGAUUCCGCCUCGGGAGGGGCUCACGUCUCGUAUUAAGCUUGUUGGCGGGGGGUAGGGUAAUAACGGCCCACCAAGGCAAAGAUGCGUAGCGGGUGUGAGAGCACGACCCGCGCCACUGGCACUGAGACACUGGCCAGACACCUUACGGGUGGCUGCAGUCGAGGAUCUUCGGCAAUGGGCGCAAAGCCUGACCGAAGCGACGCCGCGUGUGCGAUGAAGGCCUUCGGGUUGUAAAGCACUGUCGAGGGGGAAUAAAACCGCAAGGUUGAUAGAUCCCUGGAGGAAGCACGGGCUAAGUUUCGUGCCAGCAAGCCGCGGUUAAAGACGAAACCGUGCGAAACGUUGUUCGGAAUCACUGGGCUUAAAGGGCGCGUAGGGCGGCCGACCAAAGUCAGGGGGUGAAAUCCCGCAGCUCAACUGUAGAAGUGCCUUUGAUACUGGCCGGCUCGAGGGAGGGUAGGGGUGCGUGGGGAACUUCUGGUGGAGCGGUGAAAUUGCGUUGAUAUCAGAAGGAAACGCCGGUGGCGAAAAGCGACGCCACUGGAUCUUUUCUGACGCUGAGGGCGCGAAAGCUAGGGGAGCAAAACGGGAUUAGAUACCCCGGUAGUUCCUAGCCCUAAACGAUGGGUACUAGAUUUGUAGACUGAUCAUGGGUUUACAGUUCGAAGCAAAAAGUGCUAAGUACCCCGCCUGGGGAGUAUGGUCGCAAGGCUGAAACUCAAAGGAAAUUGACGGGGGCUCACACAAGCGGUGGAGCAUGUGGCUUAAUUCGAGGCCUACGCGAAGAACCUUAUCCUAGGCUUGACAUGUGCGAAAAGCGCUGGGGAAGUAGGAACCCGAAAGGGGGACCAACGGUAUCCAGUCCGGAACCCAGUACAGGUGCUGCAUGGCUGUCGUCAGCUCGUGUCGUGAGAUGUCGGGUUUAAGUCCCCAUAACGAGCGAAAACCCUUGCUUCCAGUUGCCAGCGGGUCAUGCCGGGGACUCUGGAAGGACUGCCGGUUGUUAAAAAAAACCGGAGGAAGGCGGGGAUGACGUCAAGUCCUCAUGGCCUUUAUGCCUAGGGCUGCACACGUGCUACAAUGCCACGAACAAAGGGACGCCCAACGCGCAAAGCGGGAGCAAAUCCCAAAAAAAACGUGGCCCAGUUCAGAUCGAAGGCUGCAACUCGCCUUCGUGAAGCCGGAAUCGCUAGUAAUCGCAGGUCAGCAACACUGCGGUGAAUGUGUUCCUGAGCCUUGUACACACCGCCCGUCAAGCCACGAAAGGGUGGAGCGCCCGAAGUCGUUUUUCACCAACGCCGAAGGCGAAACACCUGAUUGGGACU